CGUCAGGGAACAAAGAGAAGGAGAAAUGGAGUAUCUAAAGGUCGGAGAACUUGCCGGAGAGAAGUAGAGGAGGGGAGAAAGCUGCUUUCUAUUCUGAAAAGUCCCAUGAGCCAGAAUAAUGAUUUCCUCCACUUUCUGCAACUGUUAUGUAAAUGCCCGCUCUGUGGGGUGUGUAAUAGAACAACAGCUAAGGUCAGUCAACUGAUCUAUAAGGCGUUCUUGGAAGAUGCUCUUAAUUCUGUGUCCCAUGUGUCUUCCAUGACGUCUGUGAGAGAGUCAUCAGUUUUUCUGUCCGAUGUUGUCUCUGCAAUCCCUCCGGGAGCUUCAGUUUCAACUCCUUUAACUGAGCCAACUCUA